AUUGAACGCUGGCGGCAGGCCUAACACAUGCAAGUCGAACGGAGUGGCAGACGGGUGAGUAACGCGUAGGUAACUGCCUCAUAGCGGGGGAUACCUAUUGGAAACGAUAACUAAUACCGCAUAAUGUGCUCUGAGCAUGCGUUGUAUUAGCUAGUUGGUGAGGUAACGGCCCACCAAGGCGCCGAUACAUAGCCGACCUGAGAGGGGUAUCGGCCACAUGGGGACUGAGACACGGCCCAGACUCCUACGGGAGGCAGCAGUAGGGAAUCUUCGGCAAGGGACGGAAGUCUGACCGAGCAACGCCGCGGGAGUGAAGAAGGGUGUCGGAUCGUAAAGCGCUGUUGUUAGAGAAGCGGUAACUAACCAGAAAGGGACGGCUAACUACGUGCCAGCAGCCGCGGUAAUAC
rnacentral:rRNA from 1 species